AGAAGAGGGUUUAGUGAAGCUACAAUCUACAAGCUAUUUGCCUGAAGCUAGCAGGUAGCUAAACGCUUACCUUUUCCUAUUCAAGUGGUGAUAACAGAGAGAAGAGAGAUCAUCAAGAAAAAUGGCUGAAUUUGCUGCUUCUGCUGCUGCCAAUACUGUGGGAAACCUGGCAACAGAAUAUGCGUCGCCUUAUCUUAGUUACUUUUUCCAUUAUGGGAAAAUUGCUGAAGAUUUCAAGAAUCAUCGAAAUGAUCUUCAAUUAAAGAAGGCUAGAGUGAAAAAUGAGGUUGAUCUGGCUGUAAGGCAAACUGAAGUAAUCGAGAAGGACGUUGAGAACUGGCUAACAAGGGUUGAGAAAGAAUUGAGAGAAACCCAGAUUCUUGAAGAAGAAAUCGAUCAUAUCAAGUGUUGCAAAUGGUGUUCCAAUUGGGGCUGGCGUUGUUCUUUGAGUAAGAAACUUAUAAAAAAGACCUUUAUUAUCUCUAAACUUCUAGAGACUUGUAACUUUUCACCAGUUGGCCGCCGUGCUCCUCUUCAAGGAAUAGAGUUCAUCACAUCUAAGGACUUCGUUGACUCUAAAUCUUCAAAAUCAGCUUUGAAGGAGAUCAUGGAGGCUGUAAAUACUAAGGAUGUGAACAUGAUUGGACUGUAUGGAAUGCCAGGAGUUGGGAAAACAACUUUAGCCAAAGAAGUUGGGAAGCAUGCUCGUGAACAAAAGUUGUUUGAUAAAGUUGUGAUGUUUACAAUGUCCCAAAAUCCAAACAUCAGCAAAAUUCAAGGUAAAGUUGCAGAUAUGUUUGGUUUAAAAUUUGAAACAAGUAGCGAAGAAGGAAAAGCGGAAGAGCUGUUUCGGAGUAUGAAAGGUGAGACGAACAUCUUCAUAAUUGUCGAUGACCUUUGGGAAGAAUUUAAAUUGGAGACAAUAGGAAUUCCAUUGGGUGUUGAACAUGAGGGUUGUAAAAUUCUUCUGACUACACGUGACCAAAAAGUCUGCACCAUAAUGAAUAGUCAGAAGCAAAUUCAACUCGGUGUCUUAUCUGAAGAAGAAGGAUGGGAUUUAUUCAAGGUUAUUGCUGGUUUGGAAGAUGGCUAUUCCACCUUGAUUGACGUAGCCAAAGAGGUAGCUGGUGAAUGCAAGGGCUUGCCUCUUGCAAUUGUAACCGUGGCAAAAGCUCUAAAAGGUGAGAGUUUAGAAGGGUGGAGGACUGCUAAUCAGAGACUCAAGGACUCAAGACAUUUGGACAAUGAAGAUGUUUUUGGAGGUGUGUACAGGGCACUUAAGCUUAGCUAUGAUUAUUUGAAGAAGAACAAUAGCCAAACAAUGGAAAAUGACAUCCAAUCGUGUUUCCUUUUGUGUUCCCUUUUCCCUGAAGAUUAUGAAAUACCUAUUGAGAUGUUGAUUAUGUGCGGAAUUGGUGUGGGAUUGUUCUCUAAUGUUUAUUCAAUUGAAGACAAAAGAAGGGAAAUAGGUGUAGCACUAACAAAACUUCAAAAGUCUGGCUUGCUGUUGGAAGCUGAUGAUGGAAAACGUGUAAGAAUGCAUGAUGUGGUUCGGGAUUUUGCUCAUUGGCUAACAUCAACGGGAGAAAACAGAUUCAUGGUUAAAGAUGGGCUGAAAGAAUGGCCUAAUGCCGUUGAAAGUUUUGGGUGUUAUACUGCAAUAGCUUUAUGGAACUGUAGUUGCUUAAAUCAUUUUCCUAAAAAUGUGGAAUUUUCAAAGCUCAAGACAUUGUUUUUGAAGGGAAGAGGUUUACAAAGUGUUUCAAGUACAAUUUUUGAAGAAAUGAAAGCCCUCCAACUUCUAUAUCUCAUAAAUGUCUGUUUCUCACUGGAAGGACUCCAACCCCUAACAAAGCUUCGAACUCUGUGUUUAGGGAAUUGCAAGCUCGAAAACACCUCAUCAUCAUUGAGAAAUAUGAGAAACCUCGAGAUUCUUGUAUUGUUUUGCACUGAUAUUGAUGAGAUAUCUGAAGAAUUAGUGGAAUUGUCUACUCUCAAAUCAUUAUAUCUUUCUCACAAAGAGAAACACAUCAAUAUUCCCCCCAACUUGUUACCGAGGUUGACGUCACUUGAAGAGCUACACGUGAGAAGUGAAAACAACGUCAACUUAGCGGAGCUGAAUUCAUUGUCUCGUUUGACUGCACUAUCACUGAGAGUUUCUACUGAUCAAUGCUUCCAAGAGAAUAUUGUGUUCCCUAAACUACAAAGGUACAUUAUAGUUGUCAAUAAGCAUCUUGAUGAGUGGCAGGGAAUGACCUUUAGAACUUUGGAAAUUAAUGAUCUCACAUUCUCUUUGAGCGCGUUCACGGAUCUAUUUUGCAAUGUAGAAGAAUUGAGGCUGAAGGAUGUCAGUGGACAAAAGAACAUUAUCCCAAGCAUAGGUGAAAAUGGAGCAAAUAAGUUCACUUCUCUUAGGCUUAAAUCUUGCUCUGAAUGGAAAACACCACUGUUCUCAAAUUUGACAUUCUUGAAUCUAAAAUCAUUGCCCGAGUUGGACAGCAUAUUGAAAUUAGAACCAUCCCGUCAUGCAAUUCCAAGCCUCCAGAAUUUAAAGGUAGUAAGAAUUGAAAACUGCCAUAAGCUGAAAGUAACUAUCUCACCUGGCCUUGCUAGAAGUAUGCUGCAUCUACAAGAAUUUUAUGUAUACAACUGCGAUGGGUUAGAGCAAGUCAUAGGUUUUGCGCAAGAAGAAGAAAUUACUGAGAAUCACUAUCCUUUGUGCUGGCCAAAAUUGAAAACUGUCAAGAUAAUGAAUUGCCGGAGAUUGAAAUAUGUGUUUUCAGUCACUUUAUCUCGAGGACUUCCACCGUUGGAAUAUGUUAAACUAAAGAAUUGUCCUCAGCUAAUACAAGUCUUCAGGCCAACGGAAGAAAGGGAUAUAGUGGGCAAUCACAUUCUGCUUAAUCUGCCCUUUAUGCGAAAGUUAUCAGUGGAAAAUUGUCCCAAAUUGACAUGCUUCAUUGGCCAAUCUCAACUGAUGGAGAAGCUAUAUCUUAAGAAUGUGGGGAAUAGUUGUCAAUUAUGUGGCACUGACGUCUGUAUGUUCCAUCGAGAUUGUUUGGCAGUUGGGAAUCAUGAAGAGGUGUUUAAGGUUCAAGGUGGGUUGUAUCCAUUCUCCAACAUUAAAAAACUGCAAUUGAUUCAUUUCUCUGAAGCACGGACUAUAUGGAAGGAUCUUGCUGGAGUCGUAACCCUUGAGAACCUUACAACUCUGCGGUUGUAUGAUUGCAAGAAGCUAAGAUAUAUAUUUACACCUUCGACAGCACGCAGUUUAUCACAGUUGGCCAUUCUAUAUAUCAUUGGAUGUGAGGAAUUGGAAGGAAUCAUUUUAGGCAAGGAUCAAGUUUCUUCAUCAUCAAAUGCUGGUCCUGCUCUCCAACAUAUAAGCUUUCCUAAUUUGACUCGGGUUAUAGUAACAGAUUGCAACAAUUUGAAAAGUUUGUUUCCUCUUGGAUCUGCUACUUCUCUUCAAGGUCUUACACUUCUCAGAGUUGAACGGAACUCUAAAUUGGAACAAAUAUUUGAAGUAGAAGAUGAAACGGAAGUAAAAACUAAGGAGAUAAAGUUUGAUAGAUUGGAAUGGAUAAAACUUGAAGGACUGCCCUGCCUCAUUGAUUUUUGUCCCAAGGGAUAUCAUUUUGUGUUUCCGGGUUUGAGGGAUUUGAAAAUAAAAGAAUAUCCUAAAAUGACUACUGGUUUCUUCGUUGAUUCAAAGCAAAUUGUUCAUUCCAAAUCAGAGGGUCUGCUUCAAAGACUACUCGACAUACCGUUCGUAACAAGUACAUACGUUGGAAAAGAGGCUGGUUUCAGACACUACCGCAUUAUAUGGAAGAAUAGAUGAUUUCAGGGCAAUUUGCAAAGGCAUGUUUACUCAUAAAUCAGAAUGUUGAGGCUGUCAAUUAAACACAGGUAAAAACAGGUGGGUUGAUAAUGGCGCUUUUUACUGGUGAAGAAGCUUGCUUUAUGGAGUUGGUAAGCAAAAGGAUAUGUCCUUUACUUCCAAUUGGUAAUUUAGCUAAUUAAAGUUAUGUUGCAGCUUUUAUUGUGUGUUUUAUGUGCAGUAAGUACAAGAAGAAGAGUUUGAUUACUACUUUUCAACUUAAAAAAGAACAUUAUUUUCUUUCCAAACACAUGUAAUUUGAGAAAUUCUGAAAACCCUAAUGGUGAUCGAUCAUCAUUUUUUGUU